CUAGAGCUCAGUUUGGUAAUACUAAAAUUGGACAACUCAGGGAAGAUUAUCCUGACCCCUGCUUAUGGAUGACAUGUAAAUCCAUGAGGUGUUUUAGAUUUCA